rnacentral:rRNA from 1 species
AUUGAACGCUGGCGGCAGGCCUAACACAUGCAAGUCGAGCGAGCGGCGGACGGGUGAGUAAUGUAUGGGGACUGCCCGAUAGAGGGGUAUAACUACUGGAAACGGUGGCUAAUACUGCAUACUAUCGGAUAACCCAUAUGGGAUUAGCUAGUUGGUGGGGUAAAGGCUCACCUAGGCGAAGAUGUCUACCUGGUCUGAGAGGCUGAUCAGCCAAACUGGGACUGAGACACGGCCCAGACUCCGACGGAGGCAGCAGUAGGGAAUAUUGCACAAUGGGCGAAAGCCUGAUUCAGCCAUGCCGCGUGAAUGAAGAAGGCCUUAGGGUUGUAAAGUACUUUCAGCAGAGAGGCGUUACCCGCAGAGGAAGCACCGGCUAACUCCGUGCCAGCAGCCGCGGUAAUAC